rnacentral:rRNA from 1 species
UCCUACGGGAGGGCACAGUGGGGAAUAUUGCACAAUGGGCGAAAGCCUGAUGCAGCGACGCCGCGUGAGGGAUGACGGCCUUCGGGUUGUAAACCUCUUUCAGCAGGGAAGAAGCGAAAGUGACGGUACCUGCAGAAGAAGCGCCGGCUAACUACGUGCCAGCAGCCGCGGUAAUACGUAGGGCGCAAGCGUUGUCCGGAAUUAUUGGGCGUAAAGAGCUCGUAGGCGGCUUGUCACGUCGGUUGUGAAAGCCCGGGGCUUAACCCCGGGUCUGCAGUCGAUACGGGCAGGCUAGAGUGUGGUAGGGGAGAUCGGAAUUCCUGGUGUAGCGGUGAAAUGCGCAGAUAUCAGGAGGAACACCGGUGGCGAAGGCGGAUCUCUGGGCCAUUACUGACGCUGAGGAGCGAAAGCGUGGGGAGCGAACAGGAUUAGAUACCCUGGUAGUCCACGCCGUAAACGGUGGGAACUAGGUGUUGGCGACAUUCCACGUCGUCGGUGCCGCAGCUAACGCAUUAAGUUCCCCGCCUGGGGAGUACGGCCGCAAGGCCUAAAACUCAAAGGAAUUGACGGGGGCGGGGGCGGCGGGACGGGCGCGGGGCGCGGCGGGCGA